rnacentral:rRNA from 1 species
CCUACGGGUGGCAGCAGUGAGGAAUAUUGGUCAAUGGACGCGAGCCUGAACCAGCCAAGUAGCGUGCAGGAUGACUGCCCUACGGGUUGUAAACUGCUUUUGUAAAGGGAUAAAGUGAGACACGUGUACCUUUCUGUAUGUACUGUAUGAAUAAGGAUCGGCUAACUCCGUGCCAGCAGCCGCGGUAAUACGGAGGAUUCGAGCGUUAUCCGGAUUUAUUGGGUUUAAAGGGAGCGUAGAUGGGUUGUUAAGUCAGUUGUGAAAGUUUGAGGCUCAACUGUAAAAUUGCAAUUGAUACUGGUCGUCUUGAGUAUAGUUGAGGUAGGCGGAAUGUGUGGUGUAGCGGUGAAAUGCUUAGAGAUCACGAAGAACUCCGAUUGCGAAGGCAGCUUACCAAGCUGCCACUGACAUUGAGGCUCGAAAGUGUGGGUAUCAAACAGGAUUAGAUACCCUAGUAGUC